UUUCCUCCUCGGCAUCGCUCCGGUGACCGCGGGCUGUGCCAGCCGGCCGCCCAGAUAGGUUGCGUGGCAGCCACGGCGCGAGCGAAUAGAACUCCUUGGAUGCGUCGGAAGUGAGCGCCGGGAGCAUUUGGUGAUCUUUGUGGGAGGAAGGCAAAGCCACCCAGGCCCCGUUCCCUCCAUCUUGAGCCUUCCAUGGUGAUUUGCAGCAGCACAGGGAAGUAUGAAGCACCGAGGGACAGAAGUCAGUGUUUAAACCUGACUUCAGUAUUAACGACCACACAAGUUUCAGAUAACAGAGGACCAGGGCUAGAAUAGCAGAAGUACUUAAGGUGCCUCUUUAAAAAGUUCUCUUGUGCAUAUCUAAAGAUUAGGAAGCUGUUUAGAAAAGGUGGUUAUACAAGUGUUUUUAUUUACUGUCUGAACAGAAGAUGAUGAUCCGCAUUAUCUUACGUGCACCUUGGAAGCAUCUGUAUCACUAUAUAGAUUUCAGGGGCUGCAUUGAUUUAAGUUAGAAAGAUACCAGUGAAGUUUUAAAUAAUCGGUAUAAUAUUCUCCCUCUCUUUCAGUCAGAUUUGCCCUUCAUGUUACUUGUGUUUCAUAAUCCUCCUAGCUCUCCAUUUCGUCAUUACAAGACCAGCAUCUCUACUGUUAAAAAAAAAAAAGAGAAACAGAGAGCCCCCCCCCAACUCCACCAGGAAAAAAAAAAGUCUUUUUACAAUCUGUUAUUUAUAUCAAUGUUUAAAUAAAUUUAGGGCACAAACUGAUCCUGUUUUUUUAAUAGGCUUAUUUAGUUUCAUUUAUUUACACAGGUAUUUUUUUGGAAGCUCUCAGGAAGAGACUGUGUUUGAUGCAGCAAUACCCUUUAGGGUUUUGAUAAAAGACAUGAUAUCAUGAGUCUCAUCACCACUUCUGUUAUUGUUCUUAUAUAGUAGCGACAAGAUUGAAUCACCAUUUUUAGCUAUUCUUCAGCAGAACUUGUAAUCUAUCAAUGUGUCAGCUCAACAGCAGUUUUCUCUUCACACUAAUGUGAACCAGAAGGUCCAGCUAUCACUGAUUUUGACAAUUUUAUUUUAUCUGAGAUGGCAUGUAUUGCAGAAGUUUGAAGCAGAUGAAUUAUAGGGCCUGUUAUAUUUUCCUAAAGAUGUACAAAACAUAGAAUACGUCACUCGAAAUAUUUCAAACUAAUUUGUAUCGAUAACAUUCCUAUGCUUGGUGCUUCAUAAGCCUUAUGCUAGAAGCACUAUUAAAUAUUUGUCUGAUAAAUAACAAGAAUGGGAUCAAAUGUGGGUCCUGUAGUUUUUUGAAUGCCUCACAUUGCCCUCUCUGUUGUUACAUAAUGCAUCAUAAAGAAAUACGUGCCUUCAUUCUCUUUAAAUCAGUCCGGCAUGGAUAGUACUAAGCCUUCCUUCAAGUCCUUGUUAUGCAAGUCCUUGCUACUGCUAAUAGCUGUCUGCUCUGCAUGGUUACUUAAAAAGCAAGGUAGCUGCAGACUUUUUGUGAAACUCCUUGCAUUUCUGGAAUUUUCAGUUAGGUGAUUCCAGCUGUGUUGCUCUCUUUCUCAGCUAUAGAAUAAAUUAUUACGAACAAACAGGUUUUCCCUCAUUAGAAUAAAGUCUCAUUCAUUCCAGUACAUCAGAAAGUGGCCAGUUUUUUGUUGAGUUGCGUCUACAAGCACAUUAUAAGUAUCUGAAUGCACUUCAGUGUCAAAACAGUGCAAUAGACCAUAAUGCAGUUAUAUUUUGAAUGUCUGUUGGAGAACACAGGCAUAUAACUAAGUACUGAAAAAAUACAUAGCACAGUGAAAAAUCGAUGACCAAUCUAGCAAAGCUAUUAGGUAACAAAAAAAUCCAUAUGGGCAUUAAGUACUAUUAUUUAAAGUAAAAUCUGUGUUAUACAGUAUAACCAGCAUUCAAGUGAAAUUAAUGAAACAUCUAUCUAGAACAGAAAGAAUCAUUUUUUAAAUCUAUGAUACGACAUGCUGUAUUUCUUUACUUGGAAAGUGGAAUUUGGUCGUAAUUUUGUAAAGGUAUAAAAUUAACAACAAGCACUUCAGAGAAAUAGGAAUGCUGCCUGAUUUGGAUUUUUUUUCCCUCUGUAAAACACAGAGAUAAUUAGCGGCAAAAAAUCAGGAAAAACCUGUCUGGGUUUUCCAAUAUAAUGUAGAUAUUUUCAAGUACUCCGUCCUUUAAGAGGGCCUUGGUUUUAAACAGACUGAAAUAGGAAUAUCUCAAAAUUCAUCUUACUGAUUAUACUUAAUUUUUUCCUCUCUUCCUUUUUACUCGUAGAAUAUGCAAGUAGUAACUCAGCGAUGUGUCACCAGGAAAGGAGGAUUUAUUUCAUAUUCACUUAGCAGAUCUAUUAGUUUAACAAUCCUUUGUUGCAUUUCUCAAUUUCUUUACCUUUUUUGUUACUUUUGUAAAUUUGUGGUACUGGCUUAUUUGUUUAUUUCCAUUUUCCUACUUCUAAUUAUUUUGAAAAGUUCAACUAUAAUCUGUUCAGAUUUUGGUAUGACACAUGAAAAACAUUUUUUUCAAUUCUUUUUGCAAGCAGUAGGUUGGUGGGAGGAGGUCUGCAUUGUAAAAUAGUGUACCUACAAAACUGUUCUUCAGUGGGAGAUUAAAUAAUAAAGAGCAGGAUGACUGAGACAAGUCAUUUGUCACAGAUGUUCAUGCAGUUCUGGUGUUUUAUUUUAAGCUGGAUUCAUCAAAUGUGCUAAGGAGUAAUUUCUGUCUGAUAUGAAGUUCCCAUCAAAGGAGACUAAGUGGUUUAAGUUUAAACUGUGGUUUGAAAAUACAGGGAAAUGUUACUGGACCGGUGACAGUUUGAUUUGGUAGCCAAAGUGGACACAAGGAAGUAAAUUGGAGAAUGCUAUUUUUGGCCUAAAAUGUGAGGAAAACACAUCACUACUGUAUUACUGUGGAGCAGUGACUUUACCUAGAAGAUGGUUUUAUCUAUGAAGCACAAAGAUUUUACCGCAGGCAUCUGAAUUAUGCAGAUUGUAAAGGGUACCGAUGCCGUUGGGAAGCAAGCAUGAAAUGGUGAUGUGUGAACGUCCGAUAUCUGAGCGACAUUUACUGACCAAUUUUACAGUAUUUUGCAAGUUUAUAAUAUAGGUUUAGUGUUAGUUUUAUUUAGUGAAAAUGGAGGAGGUAAGCACUAGUGUAAUAUUGAUUUCGGGUUUUUUAGAUAGGCUAGUUAUCAUAUUUAGCAAAGUACAAUACGAACAAGAAGGCCCGGGACUAAGAUUACUUUAAAAGGAAGAUUUAAAAAAAAAAACAGUAUUGGACUUAUUCUUAGUUUAUAUUAGUUGCUCUCUCUUUUAAUAUAAUUUUCUCUUUUCUUAAGUUCCGUCUCUCCCUUCAGAAAUGCUGUGUCCCAGCCCUGAAAUGGAGGAAUAUAAUGGCUACAAUUAGCUUCUGUUUACUGGAGGAAAAUUAUUUUUUCCCAAAAUGAAAUACAUGCAUUAAUUUGCUGGACUUGCAGCAAUUUUUACAUGUGGUAUUUUUGAGAAAGAGAUCGUAAUGUCCAUUUUAAUGCAGCUUACCGCAGUAUAGCUGCCGUAAUUGAGCAUUUUUCUCUUUGGUAGUCAGGUACACUGAAUUGUCAGGCUGUUUGCUUUUAAGCACCUGAAAACUAAAUUUUAAAAAAGUAUAUUUAAUACGAUAAGUUUUGCUUUCCAGUCUGUACUUUCUUUUGAGUUUUUCAGGUAAAUACUGCGCAGAUUGAUUAUCAGAAAAAUUGAGGCUUACAUAAUCGGGACAUACUUUUUUUCUACUGCCUCCCUUCCCCCACUUAGCUUUCAUUUUACUAUGAAAAAUGAAAAAUUUUGAAAAGAAAAUUACUAUGACAUACUGAUUAUACACACAUUUUCAUGGAACUGCACAGCUAAGCUAUUUGUAUGUAUUUAGUAAAAGAAAGCAGCAAGCAAAAUAUUAAAACCUUGAGACGCCUAAACUUUAAAAUUAUAGUCGUCAUUAAAUACAGCUUUAUCUGAGAUGCUGUACCUAGCUCUGUAACAAUGAAUCUUUUUUCUUUGCAUAGGGAAUUAGAGUACUUCUAUGUAGUCUUUAUUCAGAAUAAAAAAAAUUAUAAUGUCGUACUCCAUUUUUUUAUUCGUCAUAAAGCUGAUGCUCCUUCGUAAGGCAGUUGGUUUAAUACCUAACUUUCAGAGGAUGAUUUUCAGUGAUUGCUAUUGACAAAAUAUAAGCAAAUGAAUCAGAACCCUGUCCUGGUAGAUAAUUACAAAUUGAAUUAACUAAAAAGAAUAAUAUUAAAAUUUUAUCUAAAUAUGUUAACAUGAGCUCUUACCCAUAGGUGGCAGUCAUCUUUCACUCUAGCAGGGAUGCCAAACUUCUGGUUCGUGGUAUUCACGCUUAUACUGAAAUAAUUUUGGUGAGGUAUGCGUAUGUACAUAAGAAUAUACAUGUCUGCAUUUUGGAAGAGGGGGAAGAAGGUGAAAUUAAUCAUAAAAUUAGGUAGUAAUUAGGAGGAAUCUGAACUGCUGUGUAUAAGCAGUAAGAUAAGGAAUGAUCGUAUUCUGGAGAAGAUGUAGAGAUAUUUAUAAAACCACAGAAACACAUUUUUUACCAAUCCAUUGCUGACGCUCCUCAAAAUAAAGUAGUGAUAGUUCAGAAACCAGUUAGCCCUACAAAUUGAGCAGAAAGGCAAGUAUCCUGCCAGCCUUAGUGAGCACAACCCCAUAUUGUGCCCCGUCCUCCAAACCACGUUUCUACUUUGUCACCCUUUAUCUGUAAAUUACAGAAGCACCACAGUGAUGAUGUUGCCCUGGAAAUCCCAGCAAUAAGGCCCCUUAAAUAUUGAGGAAAUACAGAAAAAGUGCUCUGGGUGAGGAUGUCCUUUCAGUCAUGGAGAGCAAGCAGAACCAGCGAGCUGUCGUGCUGUCCUGUGUCUCUUUGCAGGGCUGCGAUCGACACCCGUGGCAGUGCUGUGCAAGGGGAGGACGCUGCCUGCCCGAACAGAGAUCUGCUCAGUUUUGCCAUCAGCUUUUUUAGGGAUUUAAGUGGUUUAUGGGGAUUUCCUUUUGCAAUACCACUAAGGAGGCACUUGGGACCCCACCAAAACUGGAGGGGAUGGAAGGAGCGAAUAAGGCCAGGUCAUUUCAGGCUAAAACAAACAGAACUUGUGAAACUACAAAUGUGUCAUAGUGAGACGAUAACAUUCUUCUGAGAAAAGAGGACCGAAACCUGGAAUUCACGGGCAGAACCAGUGGGAAAAAAAGCUCUGUGGUCUGGGUUGGGCAAACAGAGAUGCCAUGAGACAGUGCAGAAGACGCUGGCCGUGGGAUGAAUUUGUGUACCAGCAAGAGCAGUAUCUACUCCAUCUGUCUUGGGCUCCACUUCAUCCAGGAAGACUUCCUUUUGAAAGGAGAGAUUCCAGUCAUGGUGACUCCAACCAGUAAAAGAGGUAGCCUCCCAGAUUUACUUAUCUCAGCCUCCUUGAAAGCAUCCCUAACUUCCUUGGCAGCAGUAACCAAACAAGAGCUGUAAAAUACUGUUUUCCCUGGUCUGGCUGAACUCACGACUCAGCAUAUGUGGUGGGGAGCUCCUAAAAUAGCUCUCUGUUGCCUCACCAGCCUCAGCAGCAACUUGAAAAGUCUUCUGCCUUCUGGGACAACUUGGAGAAGUUUUAAAAUGUUUGGACUUUGAAAGUACUGUGAAAGAUAAGAAUGAUCUAUUCCAAGGCCAGGUGAACCGAAGGUCACAGCUAAGGCAUUGCACAACAGACCCGAGUGGGUUCAGGACAAGAACUCUCUCAGGAUCUGAUCAGCUCAUCUAGAUUGCUGCAGCUGCCCCUGCCUAAAUUCAGGUUAAAGAUGAGUCCCUUUGACCUAGAACUUCACUGGGCCAAACAACCAUAAUAGUUUCUCCCAAAUAUUAGUGGGGUGAUGCCAAGUCAGAGGGCACAGGUUUUUCCCUGGCAGAGCUCUGUUGGAGAAGCCUUCUGAAAAAAACUAGCAAAACAGCUUUGUUUGUGAGGGGAAGCUGUAGCUGCUGCAGGACAAGUGUAUUCUCACUCUGGGAAGUUUUAAUGCACAUUUUCUCCUGGUCAAAGGCUAUUAUUCUCUGUCUGGAUCUUGUCACGUUUCAGGCUAUCUCUAGUUAGAACAAAACAUGAACAGCACUUACUGUAUUUAACAAGGGCUAUCCCCAAGCUGCAGUACUUCAGAGUAGCGUUCUUUGGGCUCUACAUGGACAACAUUGUGGUUUGUGCCCCUGGAGUAAUGAAAAUCCCCUCUCUCCGGUGAGGAAAGGCUCCUCUUUCUUGAAAAUAUAAUUUCCUCCCGAAAAACGACUCAGAAGGACCAUAUAUAUCUCUGGCUUCCCAUCCAGGGGGGAGAGGAGUUUUUCUGUUGACAUGUCUCUCAUUUCUGAGCACGGUCUCCAGUGCCUCAGCCAGAGCCCUCAGUAUAACUUUCUGCUGAGUCAGGCUGCUGGUUUUAUUAUCCCAAAUCCCAAACGGGUGGUUUCAAGUACUCCAGGCAUUUUUCAAAGAUAGCCUGAAACCCAGCCAAGCCCAUGGUGGGGGUGUAACCCUUCUCCCAACAGGUCUGCAGUUGGACUGGUUCUCUCCCAGGUCAGACAGCUGCAGAGUGCAGCUGCCACCCCCAGGGACAACCCCCCUCUGCCCCCAGAAUGAAGUUUGUGAUUUUUCAGCAGCAGUAAAUGAUCUCCCUGGGGGUUAUUUGACCACCAAAACUACACUGGCUUGGCUGAAGGAUUGAAGGGCUGAGGCUCAUGUCAAUAUCCAUUGACAGAUAUUAGUGGAUGCGGGCUGGAGACCCCUCCCCAGCCCCAAGUGUUCUUCCAGCCACUUUCACUUGCUGCUUGAAAGUCACCACUUCCCCAGCUCCUGUGUUUACAUGUCUGUCUAUGACCACAAUAAAACAGAAAAAAGGCAAAUGUG